GAUGAACGCUGGCGGCGUGCCUAAUACAUGCAAGUCGUACGAAGGAGCUUGCUCCUUAGUGGCGAACGGGUGAGUAAUACAUAAAUAAUCUGCCUAUCAGACUGGGAUAACUAUUGGAAACGAUAGCUAAUACCGGAUAGGUGAUUCGGGGGCAUCUCUGAAUCAUUAAAGUAGGUUUUCUGCACUGAUAGAUGAGUUUAUGGCGCAUUAGUUAGUUGGUGAGGUAACGGCUCACCAAGACGAUGAUGCGUAGCCGACCUGAGAGGGUGACCGGCCACACUGGGACUGAGACACGGCCCAGACUCCUACGGGUGGCAG
rnacentral:rRNA from 1 species